GGGGACGGGGCCCGCGUAACACAGAUCGUGCCGUACAUCCCCUUUGUAGAAUAUUGCAUAUUCUAUGUUUCUAUUGAUUAUAUAUAUGGAUGUGUGGAUUGACAUAAGUAACAGAUGGUAUCAAUAAGUCACAAGGCUUUCUUUGUCCGAGAGCUCUGGAAUGUGGAUUCGGGGGUUUUGUCCUUAUAUGGCUAGAGUUAUAUGCCGACGUUAGUAUUAACACUUCUAUAUAGUAACAGAGGGACACGAGGUCUCUCUCUCUUAGCUUGGCUCUGUACAACAAUGUCACUCUCCCAUCAGAAGUACAGCAAUUACCAUCUGCUGUUGAAUGUCUACUAUCCUGUAACAUCCUUUAUUAUGUAUCCGUAACAAAGAAUAAACCCGAAGAAACCGUAAGUCAGAUUGCGUAUUACUACUUUUCAAUAAUAUAGACAUAUAUUAUUGUGGCGAGCAUUUGGCCCAAGACUAUAUAUACAAAAGACGUAUAUAUAUCAAUCAACUGAAGACAAGAGGAAAUUAAGAAGAUUCCACAUUAUCACCAAUCUCAUCUACAUUUUACAUUGGCUAGCCUGCCAGUCUUCUAUUCAAGUUUUGUUCCCACUUCAAGGGGGGAGAGAGAAGAAUCGAGUUACAAAGCUAUUUUGGAACUGGGAAAACAAACUUGAAGAGAAAAAAAGAAUCUAGACUGUGGUUUGUAUGAAAAAGAUUUUCAAAUCAUAAAGACUGUACAAGCAGUGGCGUACAUACCAGGGUCGCAGGGGUCGCGGCUGCGACCGGGCCCGGCCCACCAGGGGGCCCGGCCGCCCCUGCGACCCGGUAUGUACGCCCAGGGCCAGCCUCUUCCCCUGGGGGGCCCAGGAGCCGACCACCCCAGGGCCCCCCGAGGCUGGCCCUGCUGUCACACACACACUCCUGGGCGGGUGGCCGGUCGGGCAGGCAGGCGGGCGGGCGAGGGAGCACUCAGUUUCCAGAUCCAAGCAAAGAACUGCGCAGCUGUAUGGAUGAAGCAACGAAAUAGACAGAGAUAACUGAUCUGGUGAGUAACAUGGAAUUUAUAAACGAUAUUGCAGAGAAAAGUAAAUUGCAGUUUGCAUGUAAUAGCAGCUAUUCAGAUACUGUUUUGUGGCAAUCUUUAUACACACAAUGUGAAAUUGCCAAUAGUGAAAUUGACAAGAAAUUGUUUGUUAAUAAGAAAAAACAAAAGAUCAGAAAUGUUAUGAAAUUAGUCUGUACUUACAAUGCAUUGAUUUGUAAACGAGAUGCUGGUCAAGAAAAUUUAGAAUCAUCAGAAAAAGAAGUAGAUUUGAAUGGGUUAACAGAAGACAAAUCAGAUUUAAAUGAACAGUGUAACAAUGUAACAGAGAGAACAGUGUAACAAUGUAACAGAGAGAACAUUGUCAGAAACAGUCUGUGAAUUAGAGGAUAGAGUUUAACUAAGAAAUGAUCUUAUUUGCCAGUUUAGAAAUGAAGUUAAACUAGUGUGUGUUAAUACAAGAAAAAUACAGGCACAGAAUCUAAUCCCAGAACCAAUAGAUACUGAAAAUGUAUCCUCACAGAGUGAUUUGCAGAAAUGCAAAACUUAAUUUGAAAAUCCAUGAACAAUAAAUGAAAAUUGUGAAAUGUAUUCCAGUUUAUGACACGUCAGUGGAUGCAUUUACUAAUGCUGAAAUGUUUGAGUCUAAUUUGGACAAAUACAGCCUAAAUGACGAACAAAGGAAUAGACUAUUUCAAACAUGGCUGCCGACUCAAAUGGCAUGUAGACUGACCGCACCCCUAAGAUUUCAGGACAAUGAUGAAAUAAUAUAUGGAAAUAAGCAAGACAGAUUAACACAAUUAAUAAAAUUAACAACAGGGAAUGAUUUUGCAGACACUGAAAUGUUGGAAAAACUAAAACCACACAAAGGGGAGGAUAUAUUUAGUUUUCUUGCAAAAUUUGAAAGUGCAUAUAGACUUGUUGCUGAUUUUCCUGAGAAUCAGUUAAUUAAUGAAUUUGUGAAAAAAUUUCAAGAUCUAGAUCCAACUGCAAUUGUGUUAGCUAGAGAAAAAAGCACUUUGACAGAAGUAGCUUUGUUCUUGGAUAACUUAAGGAGAGAAACCAAUAAUGAAGGGGUUAAAAUGACUUGUGGAUUUAGGCAGAGAAAGAAGUGCAGAUGUUACAGCCCUCGUCCCCCUCCUUCUUCUUCUUCGUGGACUCAGUGUAAAAGAGUGAUACAGACAGCUGAGCCACUCCCAAUUUGCUCAAAUAAAAGGCCGAAUAUAACUCCUAAAGUUAUUUGUUUUUGGUGCAAUAAACAACAUUAUUUAAGAUCUUGCAGAUAUUUUAUCCGAGAUAUCAAAUCAAAAGCAAAUGAGAAAUUAAAUUUGUUGAUUGAAAAUUUUGACAGAGAAAAUACAUGUGGAGAUAAAUCAAUUAAAGCCUUUCCUUGUAAACUGAUAAUCAGACAAAUAAAAGCAAUUUUAGCUAAAUCGAAAUUAAGAGACAGACAAGCAAUGCAGUGUAACACAGAAAGUUAUAAGAAUCAGGUAACUUCAAGAGAUAUGAUCAGUUUAGGGAAUGAGCAUGGAUAUGUGUGCCAACAGAUGUACACAGGCUGAUUCCAGAAUUAAGAACAGCCAAGAAUAGAGUUCUAUGUUAGUUUGUUUUACUGAAUUGUUAGUCUGAACUGUUUUUUUCAUUGUUUUUAUGUGUGUUAUAAGAAUGUAUUAGGUUAAUUAAUUAAAAUAAAAAUUUACAUCAAGUUUGCAAAUAUGGCAGAAUGAAAUACACUAAUGUAGCAGUUAGGCACAUGCGAUUAUACAGUAACUCCAAUCAUUUUACAGAAGGAAAAAACAAUGUUGAUACUUCUGAGGUUGAUUUAAAAUCUUUGAUUUAAUUCAUGAGAAUGAGAUUUCAAUGUCAUGACUGAUAAUGGAUUACUAUAUUUUGCAAAGCCUGGACAUACAUAUGUUUUGACUACAUAGAACACAAAAGUUUUGAUAGGAUAAAACCUAGAUUUGCAGAUAGAUUUGAUGUAGGAAACAAUAUAUGUUUUUUGUAGUUUGUUUCAUGUGACAAAAUGGUGCCAGUGUUAAGACAAAAUGGCUGCUAUUGCUAAAGUAUAGUGGAAAACAAUAUUUUGUUGUAACAUCUGACGUGAUUAGGUUAUACCUCCAGAUUAUUAAACAGUUUAAAGGGGGGUAUGAUUAAUAAGGUAUGAUUAAUAAAAAGUUUGAAAAUUAAAAUGUGUAGAAAAGAUAUUUUGAUAUAGAGGAAAUUUAAAGAUUAUACAUCACAUGACAAAUGUAAUGACCACUAGAUGGUAGUUCUCAUGAGAAAAAAUGAGAAUGUUGUGUAGUCAAUGUGAUUCAAUGUUAAACUGUGUAAUAAUAAUGAAAUAUAAACAUUGUAAGCCAUUGUAUUGAUGCUGCACAUGUUAUUUGUUUUAAUGUAGGUAAAGCGUGACAGAUCCUUGUGGCAGUAAAUUAGGAAAGAAUUCCUUCAGACAAUUGGACAUCGACUGUUGGAAAGAGACUUUUCAUCUGAUCUGCAAACUGUGAUGGAAGAUUCUAUAGAGUUCAUUCGAUACAGAAGUUUAACAGACUUACAAAGAAAUAAAAGAUUGACACUAACAUACAUAUAUAUUCCUAAAUAUUAAUGAAGAAAACAGACAAUGAAAAGUUAUUUAACAGUUAUGAGUAUUAAUACCAACAGAGACUACUUAUAGCGAUAUAACACAUGGAGUAAAAUUAUGAUAGGAUAGUAUUAUGAAGAGAACUAUUACAUUAUUACCUAUACAUAGAAUGAGAAGUAUCAGAGGAAGAUAAAAUAUGAAGUUGAUAAAAUAAGGAUCAUGGUUACGUAAUACUACAAAGAUUGAGUGCAAUAGUAUUUCAUAGAUUUACUAGAAUAAAUAUGUUUAUAAUCGAGGUGAAGUAAAACAAACAAUGGUAACAUAAGGAAGAAAACUAAGGAAGGAUAAUUUAUAUUGAUUAAUAUUAAGUAAUUAUAUACAUUAAGAGUUCAGAGAUCCAAGAGGAAUUGAAGUUUAGUUAAGAGUAUAGUACACAAUUAUAUUUGACCUAAGUCUAUAAAGGUAUGGACUAGGGAGAAUAGGUUUCUGGAUAUGAUGGUAUCCAAUGAAUACGUUGUUAUAAGUUCUUUUAUGAUUACCCUGAGUUUGUUAGACACAGACUAGGAAUAAGAGUUUCUGGGCAGUAUGACCCCAAGUUUUGUUUAUUUUAAUUUAGUCAGUUGAAGUGUACUAAGGAAUACGGAUUGGUCAGAACAUUAGGACAAUCCUGCUUUUAAGAUGUAUUACAUUAAUAAGUCAUCACAAUGCUAAUGAAGAGAGUGAUGAUAAUUAAUUUACAUUAUUCUUUCCAAAUUCUUUUAAAGUAAACCAUUCUCCGAUUGAAUGAAAAGUUUGUUACUACAAGGUGGAAUUUUAGUCAAAAUUAUAAUUAUGUGAACAAAAACAAAUCUAUGAUAGAAAGAUUUCUGGGUGGAGAAUUUCUAGGACAAUAAGUAUUGUCAACACCAUGAACAUUAUUUGAAGAAUUAUUAUAGAAUUUCAUGGUUGAUAACACAUCCUUUGAAUGAGACUUAUAAGUAGUGUUGAUAUAUUUCAGGUAGUUAGAGCCUCCUGAAUAUAAAAAUUAAAUACUAUGAUUGUAAAGUACUGGUACAAUCAUCACUAGGUGGUAUUAAUGGUAUAGGAAUGUAAUUCAUGAAUACAAAUGACCUAAAGAUUUUAAGGUUGCUAGAAACCAUAUGAUUCAUGGAAAUCUAAUUGGACAGGAUAUUAUAGUAAUACAUGUAUUAGUAUUUAAAUAAUAUCAGGUAUUGAGAAUGAAAAUACUAUGCUAUAUGUGUCUUUAUUAGGAAUAUGAUAGUGAUACACAGUUAUUAUCUAGAAAGUUACGAUCUUGAUUUUGUUAUCUACAAAGACAUGACUGUACCAGAGCAGGUAGAUCUUUCUGAUUGCUUUAUUGUUUAUUGGAUAACAUUUGUAAAUAUUUUAUUUUAUUCAUUUAUUAUUAUAUGUAUAUAUUAUGUUCAAGUAGUUAUGAUGUAACAUGGAUAUGGAUAUCAAUACAUAACUGAAACAGAGGGUGUUUUGAAGUAAAGUAAGCAGUAUGAGGGAUAGAAACUCGAUCUUCUAAGAACUCUCAUAUAAUAGAAAGUUGUGACUACAUCUUGUUCUAUACUCAAUGAAUGUGAUACAAGUGAUAUAUGAAUGGACAGGUUAGUGAGAUUGUGUUAUGGUUUUAAAACAAACCAUAAACAGAGGGAAUGUAGAAUAUUGCAUAUUCUAUGUUUCUAUUGAUUAUAUAUAUGGAUGUGUGGAUUGACAUAAGUAACAGAUGGUAUCAAUAAGUCACAAGGCUUUCUUUGUCCGAGAGCUCUGGAAUGUGGAUUCAGGGGUUUUGUCCUUAUAUGGCUAGAGUUAUAUGCUGACGUUAGUAUUAACACUUCUAUAUAGUAACAGAGGGACACGAGGUCUCUCCCUCUUAGCUUGGCUCUGUACAACAAUGUAACUCUCCCAUCAGAAGUACAGCAAUUACCAUCUGCUGUUGAAUGUCUACUAUCCUGUAACAUCCUUUAUUAUGUAUCCGUAACAAAGAAUAAACCCGAAGAAACCGUAAGUCAGAUUGCGUAUUACUACUUUUCAAUAAUAUAGACAUAUAUUAUUGUGGCGAGCAUUUGGCCCAAGACUAUAUAUACAAAAGACGUAUAUAUAUCAAUCAACUGAAGACAAGAGGAAAUUAAGAAGAUUCCACAUUAUCACCAAUCUCAUCU
rnacentral:lncRNA from 1 species